GUGAUUGCGAAGGAAGAUAGAAGAGAACUCGACGACAAGAAGCGAACGAAGAAUCGCUCGGGCGGGAUCUCGAGAAGCUGUUACCCGGAGGGAUCGGACGGCCGCUGACCCCCCCGUUCCGCUUUCACCGCUUCUCAGCCCGAGAGAUCGCAUGCCGCUGAGCUGCCUUUUGCUGCUGCUGAGAACUUUCUCGCUGCUACUGAGACUUUUUCACGGCUACUCUGCUUUCUACCUACCUGUGGCACAUGCACAAGCUACAUGGACAACUCAUUUAUGGACAUUCAGCACUGAGAAGAAGGAGUACCAUUCUUGUGGACUGAUGAAAGAAGGACUGGUUGAUUCUUUGCCUAUGUGUGUAAUUGUAUUGUAUUAUUGAUAUUGCCAUGUCGCUAGUGCAAGGGCCCUGUAUUAGCUGAUGUUGGCAUUUUCUAUAAUACAAAAGAGGGGGAAUUGUUGGGGAGCCCAGCUGGUUCUGGGCUCUCAGUAAACUGAGACAUUGAAGAUGGAACUUUUUACACCUGGCAGAGGGUUAACCACGGACAGUAGGACUGUGACACAGUGGGUUUCCUGUGAGGAAUGUCAGCCUAUUGUGUUAGGACAUGUGGCUGUAUGUCCAAUCAUGAGUUGUUAUGACAGUGGUAAACCAAUGCUGUGUGUACAUGUGUCACCCCAGAACUGUAUAAAGGUAGCUGUACUGUUGCAAUAAAAAAGCUGCUGGUAUCCUGAAACCCA